rnacentral:lncRNA from 1 species
GCUUGAAGGCAGUAUGCUUGGUAAAAGUCAUCGCCAUUCUCUAAUCUUGAGUACCCAGGGACACGAUACACUGCGGAAGGCUGCAGGGACCUCUGCCCAGGAAAGCCAGGCUUGCAUGAAGGAAAUGAUUUCCUAUGAUUCUGCUUACUGCUUAAAAAAAUUAAUCAAGUUUUCUGCCUGACAAGUGGUUUCCAAAAGGAAAAGCUUUGGGAGAUAGAAGUCCUCGUUUUGACCUCUGCCCUCCUUGUACACCAGGAGCCAGAAAAACUUCAUCUCUUUUACAAGAAACAUUGAGAUUCCUGUAAAAUUAAGAAAUCACACAAUUUGAUGGUCUACAUUAUCUAAAGCAAAUGAGACUUCUAUUUGGAACAAAGACUACCUUGUUGGGAAAUGAGUCUGCAAGUUAAAGUGUUUUCUGAUGAUGCAUAUCAUAAAUUAUUACUCACCCCAUGUUCCCACCCUCGAGAGACCUCCAAACAAUCACCAUGCCACAGUGAACAUUCAGUAACAAAAAUUCAGCCAGGGUUUUCACCAGCAUGAAUGGCAGUGAUUCCAAUCAGGAAAACAGAAAGAGGAGAGUUCAGAGCCACCUAGAAUGGCUCUUGCAAGAUACGAAAUCAAGGCAGCAGCAACAGGGCUGAACAUUCCUCAUCCCUAACUCUCCCUUCACCAGUAGGAAACCCAGGAUAACUGCAAUCACCGCAGGCCCAUCUGGCCUGAAGUUCUACUACUAGUAGCCCUCCAUGGGACCUUCUUAAGGAAGCAUGUCAACUCAGGUAAGGGAUGUAAGGGGAUGGAUGACCCUUUGAGGCCAAAGUUGGAGCAAAAAACACCAGAUGUUCCUGUGCACUGCUCCUAAGAGAUGGUUCUGAAGACCAGUUCGGGGAGAGGUCAAAAUACUGGACAGAAUCUCAGCAACAUGGAACCUCAAACUAAGUGACAGUCACAGACAACUCUUCCCCAAAGAAAAUAAGCACAGACAUGGUUUGUGGUAAGCAGAAUUAUAAAGAUGAAUUCCCAUCUCCCUGUCAGAUUACCAGUAUGGUAAAUUACCAGAUUACCUGGUUAUUUAUUCAAACACUAAUACAGUUAUUGCCUUGAUGGAAACAUACAGAUACAAUUAAAAUCCCAAGUACCAAAUAAAUUGACCUUAAGACAAAGACUAAGUAAAUCACAUGAGCCCUCUACAAGCAGAGAGUUUUUCUCCAGCUGGUAGCAGAAGCCAGAGAUUUGAAGCAUAGGAAGUAUUCAACACAUUAUUGCUGGCCUGAAAAUGGAAGGGGCCACAUAACGAGGGAAACCGGUGGCCUCUAGAAGCAGGGAGCAGUCCCCUGCUGACAGACAGCAAGCCAAGACCUCAGUUCUACAAUUGCAAGACACUCAAUUCUGCUAAGGACAAAAAUGAGCUUGGAAGUGAACUCUGAGCUUCAGGUGAGAACACGGCCAAACAACACCUUGAUUUCAGCUUAAACAAAGAAUGCAGCCACUCCAUGCCAGAAUUCUGACCUGUAGAAAUUUGAGCUAAUAAAUAGAUGUUUUAAUAGCUUCAUCGAUACAUACUUCACUUACUGUAAAAUUCAUUAUUUUAAAGUGUACAAUUCAGUGGUUUUCAGUAUAUCCACAAAAUGCAACCAUCACCACUAUCUGAUUUCAGGAUUUCUUUUUCUUUUCUUUUUUUUUUAAUCCCAUAAAGAAAAUCCAAACCAA